GCGCGAAAACUUCGCAAUGUGCGCAAGCGCGACGAGGGGAUUCCAAGUGCAUGCACUCAGUGUAUGCUGUUUUCCAGUCUAAAUAGCUGGGAGAGUAAGGGCUGGGUAAGACUGGUGCCAGCCGCCGCGGUAAUACCAGCGGCCCUAGUGGUGAUCGUUAUUAUUGGGCCUAAAGCGUCCGUAGCCGGCUCGGUAAAUCUCUGGGUAAAUCGAUAGGCUUAACCUAUCGAAUUCUGGGGAGACUGCCGGGCUUGGGACCGGGAGAGGUCGGAGGUACUCCAGGGGUAGGGGUGAAAUCCUGUAAUCCUUGGGGGACCACCGGUGGCGAAGGCGUCCGACCAGAACGGGUCCGACGGUAAGGGACGAAGCCCUGGGGCGCAAACCGG
rnacentral:rRNA from 1 species